UUGUAGAGAAAGCAAAAGUCCGUGCCUUAAAACGCAUUGUUGGAGACCCCUUUAAAAAGGGUGUUGAACAAGGUCCUCAGAUUGAUGAGGAGUAGUUUAGCAAGAUCUUGCGUUACAUCAAAUCGGGAAUCAACAGUGGUGCUACGCUAGUAACAGGUGGAGAUCGAAUUGGAAACAAAGGUUAUUACAUUCAGCCGACUAUCUUCUCUGAUGUACAAGAUGAAAUGAAAAUAGCACAAGAUGAGAUCUACGGUCCUGUUCAAUCGAUCCUUAAGUUCAGGCAAGUG